GGACUCUGUGGUUUGGCCACAGCGCACUGCGCCUCCACAAGCCCAGAUGGGGGUUGAGACAGUUACCCACAGGGUGGGGCAGGAGGGUGCAGCGGGCUUCCCUUCCCUUCUCUGCCCUUCCCAGCAGCCUUACUGCUGCCCUGCAUCGCCUGGGUUGUGGCCUCCAACUCCAGCAAGAGAAGGGCCUGUGGAGGAAUGACUGGGGCCUGAGGAGGCUCCUGAGAGCAAAAAGCAGGAGACCAGCACGGGCCCCUUCACAAGAGCCAGGUCAAGGGAUGGGAAGGUGGUGGGCCUGGAGAAGGCCCAAGUAGCCUCGGCCCCCACUGGGAAGGCUUCUAUGUCCACCAUGAAGCCAUAGGCCCCUUCUGCCCUGUCUGCCCCAAGGCCCUGGGUCCCCACCUUGAUGCAGCCUUUGUCGCCCUGUAUUGUAAUGACCUACCCCACUGCACCCACCAGAUGCAGCGAUGGCCGCCGUCGGAACACCAUGGGGGUGACAAUGAAUCUGAAGAGAUCAGAGAGAUCUGAAGAGGGCUUCCAGAAGGAGCCCAAGGGGCUUCUGCCCAGGGAAUCCCCCUGGAAAAGCUCUCACAAAAGAACGGCAGCAGGCUGAGUCUCUCCUUCCAGGCAGAGAGGCAGAUGGGGCGAUGUCCAGGAUCCAGUCUCUAACGGAUACAGUGAGACAUUCAGUUGACUUGAAGAAGCUUGAAUUUCCACAAACCCAUUUGUUGAUGUUUUUCCUCACCCUCAUUGCCCGAGAGGAUUGAUUAUACACGAAACCGUGAUGUGUAGUCUAUGAUCUGCCUUAGAGAAUUACCUCAACGUUGGCCAGCGCUUUGCAUUCUAAGCCACAUGGGGCUCGGGAGGUGCCUUCGGCAGGACCCAGAACUCCUGGAUGACUUGCAGGCUGAGAGCACGUUCUAGAAGCAGGGGCAAGGAUGCAAAGUAGGGAUGAAGGGUACGGAAGAGCCCAAGCCCCUGGGCUCCAAUCCCGCAUCCCUGAAAGGUGCCUCUCCCACUGACUUCUGAACCCCUGGGCCUCUGUGGGCAGCCUCUGCUCCUCGGACCCUUGUCUUCUCCUCCCCAUAAACCCUGAAGCCCAGGCACAGGAAGACAAGAGGUGGGACAAGUCUCCCAGCUCAGACCGGAGAGAGGAAUCCUAGGCCAUAGCUAUUUUCAGAACGAAAAUUGAAGCCCAUGGUUUAUUUCCUCAGCAUUUAAUUAGACUCCAGCACUGCACAGGGCUGCCUCCUUCCCACCCACAACCAAAAGCCUGACCAGUGGGUUUGGGAGCUGACGCCAUGUCACAGGCAGGGGGGCUGGGGCCUGAAGUAUUUUUACUUAUGGGAGGCUUUGGAGAACAAAACAGCUUGGCCCCAAGCCAGCUAGACUAAGUCAGUUGGGAGAGGGA
rnacentral:lncRNA from 1 species